GGCAGAAAGACAGACAGGAGAGAAACAGACAUACAGAGAGAGAGAGAGUUAGUGCCGACUUUUCUUUUCUUCUUAAAGUCACUUAAUAUUCAUGUCUAUUAUCUGCUUCUACACACUGUUCUCUCUCUCCACUCGUCUCUCCAUCCAUCCACCCGUCUGUCCACCCCUCCAGUCGUCCAUCAGCCUGCAGACUGUUCAUUCUGCUGGAACUGAACUCAAACCCUGAAAACACAUCUGUUUGUAUUAUUAUUGUUGUUGUUGUUGUUGUCAUUAUUAAAUGAACACUUGAUGGAGGAGCUGAAAACAUGAGCAGUUGGUUGUAGAAAAUAUUUCAAAGGUUAAAUUUAAACGUUUAAGAUCAGACUGCGGAGAUGGGCUUUGGUGAGCUGCUGGAGGAGGUCGGAGGGUUCGGCAGGUACCAGUGGAUCCACGUGACUCUGAUCAGUUUACCUGGACUGAUGAUGGCGGGUCAGAACCUGCUCAACAACUUCGUCUCAGGAAUCCCCGCCCACCACUGCAGCCUACCGGCCAAUCACAGCCUCUACAACCUGUCCCACCACCAGGUGGAUGAGAACAGUUGUUGAGAGCUUUAUCCCUCUGGAACUCUUCAGGAAAUAAAAUGGACCGCUGCAGGAGGUUUGUGGAGCCUCAGUGGCACCUGUUAGCUGCUAACAGCUCAGCUAACGUUAGCCAACUACAGACGGAAGGAUGUUUGGACGGAUGGACGUUCGACCGCUCUGAGUUCCUUGCCACCACCGUCUCUGAGUGGGAAUUGGUGUGUUCUCUGCGUCCUCUGAACAGAUGAUUCAGACAAUCUUAUGAUGGGUGGAGUUUUAACAGGCGCCAUCAUUUAUGGUGGUCUGUCA